GCCGACGUGGGACAAUGGUACUCCACCCGCCUUGAGAGCGGGGCCCUCUGGGCCUCCCGGUUCGAUUCCGGGCGUCGGCG
rnacentral:tRNA from 1 species